GUAGGGAAUAUUGGACAAUGGGUGAGAGCCUGAUCCAGCCAUGCCGCGUGCAGGAAGAAGGCCUUCUGGGUUGUAAACUGCUUUUGCCAGGGGAUAAAAUUUCCAUGCGUGGAAAAUUGAAGGUACCUGGUGAAUAAGCCACGGCUAACUACGUGCCAGCAGCCGCGGUAAUACGUAGGUGGCAAGCGUUGUCCGGAUUUAUUGGGUUUAAAGGGUGCGUAGGCGGUUCCAUAAGUCAGUGGUGAAAUACAAUAGCUCAACUAUUGAGGUGCCAUUGAUACUGCGGAACUUGAGUACAGACGAGGUAGGCGGAAUUGACGGUGUAGCGGUGAAAUGCUUAGAUAUCGUCAAGAACACCGAUAGCGAAGGCAGCUUACUAGACUGUAACUGACGCUGAGGCACGAAAGUGUGGGGAUCAAACAGGAUUAGAUACCCCAGUAGUCC
rnacentral:rRNA from 1 species